rnacentral:rRNA from 1 species
CAUGGAGGGUGAGAAUCCCGUCCGGUUGAUCAUUUGCGUUUUACGAUACGCUUUCUAAGAGUCAAGUUGUUUGGGAUUGCAGCUUAAAAUGGGAGGUAAAUUUCUCCUAAGGCUAAAUAACGGCGAGAGACCGAUAGCGAACAAGUACCGUGAGGGAAGGAUGAAAAGAACUUUGAAAAGAGAGUUAAACAGUACGUGAAAUUGUUGAAAGGGAAACGAUUGAAGCCAGUCGUACCUUCGGGUAAUCAGCCUUUCGGGUGCGAUUCUGUGGAGUGUGAGGAGCUUAACACCUUCAUGCUUUGCAUAUUUGUGCUCUUGGGUGUACUUGCCCGUGUGGUUGGUUAACAUCAAUUUUGGUUAUCAUAAAAUGACUGGAGGAAUGUAGCUUCGAUUUCGUAUUGAAGUGUUAUAGCCUUCGGUAGAUGUGAUGAACGAGAUUGAGGAUUGCAACGGAUACCCUUCGGGGCUACCUGUCUGGUCUCUGAUCGUUGCUCUGGUGCCGAAAGCUUGCUUACGGUUAUCAAAGUCGAUGGUCAAUAGGUUAGAACGGAUUAAAUUCGUUAAGGAUGUUGACGUAAUG